GGGCCCUUAUUCCUAAACUGUUGGGACCAAAACUCCUAAAAUCAAUCCCAACCUUCCUUUUAUGGUCAUAAACCUUGUGUUUAAAUUUCAUAGAUUUCUAUUUACUUAUACUAAAGUUAUGGUGCGAAAACCAAGAAAAAUGCUUAUUUGGGGCCCUUUUUGGCCCCUUAUUCCUAAACUGUUGGGAUCUUAACUCCUAAAAUCAAUCCCAACCUUCCUUUUGUGUUCAUAAACCUUGUGUUUAAAUUUCAUUGAUUUCUAUUUACUUAUACUAAAGUAACUGUGCGAAAACCAAGAAUAAUGCUUAUUUGGUCCCUUUUUUGCCCCUUAAAACCAAGAAAAAUGCUUAUUUGGGCCCCUUUUUGACCCCUAAUUCCUAACCUGUUGGGAUCUCAACUUCCAAAAUCAAUCACAGCCUUCCUUUUGUGUUCAUAAAACCUUGUUUUAAAUUUCAUUGAUUUCUAUUUACUUAUACUAGUAAUUGUGCGAAAACAGAAAAUAAUGCUUAUUUGGUCCCUUUUUUU
rnacentral:lncRNA from 1 species